rfam:Macaca mulatta chromosome 10, whole genome shotgun sequence.
GUCUGCAAACAUACCACCCCAAACGCGCUUGAUCUUGUCUGACCUCAGAAGCUAAGCAGGGUCGGGCCCGGCUAGUACUGGAUGGGAGAUGAGUGAUAAGAUAGUCC